GACGAACGCUGGCGGCGUGCUUAACACAUGCAAGUCGAACGCUGAAGCUCAGCUUGCUGGGUGGAUGAGUGGCGAACGGGUGAGUAACACGUGAGUAACCUGCCCUCUUCUUUGGGAUAACGCCCGGAAACGGGUGCUAAUACUGGAUAUUCACUGAUUCUCGCAUGGGGGUUGGUGGAAAGGUUUUUUCUGGUGGGGGAUGGGCUCGCGGCCUAUCAGCUUGUUGGUGGGGUGAUGGCCUACCAAGGCUUUGACGGGUAGCCGGCCUGAGAGGGUGACCGGUCACAUUGGGACUGGGAUACGGCCCAGACUCCUACGGGAGGCAGCAGUGGGGAAUAUUGCACGAUGGGCGAAAGCCUGAUGCAGCGACGCCGCGUGAGGGAUGGAGGCCUUCGGGUUGUAAACCUCUUUCGCUCAUGGUCAAGCCGCAGCUUUGGGUUGUGGUGAGGGUAGUGGGUAAAGAAGCGCCGGCUAACUACGUG
rnacentral:rRNA from 1 species